GCAGUUUUUAUUGCUAUAAUUUUAGUUGGUAUUUCAAGGGAAGAUGGGCGAUUCCGAACAAUCCUCUGUCCCCAGCAAUGAAGGCAGCGAUGCUGAGGCCAGUGAGGACGACCAACAGCCCACCGCCGCGUAUGGUUGGGGCAGGGAGCCCAGAUACUCUGCUGAGGAGCUGCCAUCGCGUGUAACAAAUGUGGAGGAAGAAGAUGCGUCAGCAGCUGCGUCCGACAGAAGACGAGUAGCUUGGCCACCAGAAUCUCGAUUCGUUUGGGACUCCGACUGGUGCGAGCGUGGACAAAAGUGUAUAGCCAUGCCCAGCCCGCGGGAAUGAUUUUGCUGGUAGGAUGCUGCCGUCGCUGUCGACAAGACGGCCCAAGGUUUCUUGCGCAGCGGACCUCGCAGAUUACGAGAUCGUAUCCUUGCAUUAGGCUGUGCUCAUCACUGCUCUUCGAGGUUAUCUCGACAUGCAGAAGCCGCCAAUGCCAGUGACAGAAGAGUCUGACAUUAGAUCUCUACGCUAUGCGGCACACAGGCAGUACACACUAUGUACACGGCAAAUUGGGCAAGCACGUUCGUUGUCGUCUUCCAGCCUGCGUUGUGAAUACCAUCAGGCAAAGAUAUCCAAAUCCUGCACCACCUCAGCCUUCUCAGGAGGCUUCCACCUGGAAUUUGGCAGAGAAACACGCUUCUCCAAGGCAGGAACAUGGAGGUUGCCAUUUGCAACCGCUACCACCUCACACAUGAGCUUGUCAACAUACUCAUAGCUCUUUCUGUCGUAUAAUUUUCUAUUUGGCCACAGUCUUCUUUAUGCUUUGAGAACUGGACUUUAUACCUUCC